AUUGAACGCUGGCGGCAUGCUUUACACAUGCAAGUCGAACGGCAGCGCGGGGCAACCUGGCGGCGAGUGGCGAACGGGUGAGUAAUAUAUCGGAACGUACCCAGAAGUGGGGGAUAACGUAGCGAAAGUUACGCUAAUACCGCAUACGAUCUACGGAUGAAAGUAGGGGACCGCAAGGCCUUAUGCUUUUGGAGCGGCCGAUAUCUGAUUAGCUAGUUGGGGAGGUAAAGGCUCACCAAGGCGACGAUCAGUAGCUGGUCUGAGAGGACGACCAGCCACACUGGAACUGAGACACGGUCCAGACUCCUACGGGAGGCAGCAGUGGGGAAUUUUGGACAAUGGGCGCAAGCCUGAUCCAGCAAUGCCGCGUGAGUGAAGAAGGCCUUCGGGUUGUAAAGCUCUUUUGUCAGGGAAGAAACGGUAGAGGCUAAUAUCCUUUGCUAAUGACGGUACCUGAAGAAUAAGCACCGGCUAACUACGUG
rnacentral:rRNA from 1 species